rnacentral:lncRNA from 1 species
CACCCUAUCUCUCUCUGACUAGAGAUUGCAGCAGUUUGAUCUGAGACUCACCCAGAAAUCUGGUCUAAGUGCAACUUCAGGGAAGUUCCUGGUGCUGUCGGGGAAUGUGAGGGUCUGAAUAGAUCAUGAGGAGACAUAGCAUGUGGCCAUCCAGCCCUCAGAUUCUUGGCUCCACCACCAUUCCUCUCUGCACGAAGCCUUUUGAUAGUAUCCUUUCCUGAGGUCUAGUGACAUACCAAACGAAAGGAAUUCUGAGGCUUUUCAUGUGAGUGUUGAUUAGUAUCAUAAGGGCCAGUGGUAGAAAGAUUUGUUCAACUCCUAAAGCAGUCACUGGCAAAGGGCACAGGACAUGUGGCCUUUAUCCUGGCAACUGAGGUAGGAUGGUUGCCUUGAGUCCCUGGAUGUCCAGUGUUACAGAGUGAGAAUAACCCAAAAGGAACAAAACAAGAAACCUACAAAAAGCUGUUGAUGAACAAGUUUUAAGGAAUUGAGCCAUUCACCAAGGAUAGAAUAUCAUUCAAAAAUCUAACCUAGACUGAUUUCUGGAUAAAUGUACUAAAGAAGCAAAUUAACUUUAUUCGAAGAUUAAAAGGGUUUUGUUUUUGUUUUUGUUUUUUUUUCAGGCUUAACUCGUGGAAGCAAGCUGCAUAUGGGAGAGACAAUGUUAAUGAAGCGGAUCGGAGUGGAAGGGCAGCUAGAGCAGCCACUUGUGGUGACAUAUGUCUUCAGCCCCUGCG